UAUAUUUUAUAGGACAUAUAUUUUGGGGUGACUAUAGGAUCUGCAACUCAAAUUUCUAUCAGAUUUCUAUGUUGUGGGUUUAGUGAUAGAGAGAAUCCAAGAUUCAAUAUCAGAAGAGGAUAAGAGGUUGAUCUAUCUUGGAGAUGGAAGUGGAGACUAUUGUCCAAGUUNGAGGUUGAAAGAGAAGGACUUUAUGAUGCCAAGGAAGAACUUUCCGCUGUGNGAUCUUAUAUGCAGAGAUC